CGUGAUGGCGGGAUCUCUCAUCUCUCCUGAGCCUUAUUAGCGUGAAAGUCGUAUUUUUGCGACGUAUUUCGCAACUUCGGUGGACGAACCUGCAAUAAAACCACGACCAUAGCGAGGACGGAUUCCAACAUUGAAAAAAAACUAAGAUUUUGAGGGAGAAACAGCGCAAAAUCGAUUUUAAAUAAUGUUGAGGCAGUACUUAACGUGGAUAUAUGAAGGUAAUUCAUCUCCUGGUGAAGGAUGUGUCGCCUGAUGUGCCCCGCCAUGGUUAUGUCCAUCUCCAAGUCCAUCUCCAAGUCCAUCUCCAAGUCCAUCUCCAAGUCCACCUCCAAGUUCCAUUCCUUUGAAGAGUACAUCAUUCAAAGGGUAGCAGAGUGGCAUCCUGUUGUGCUCCGGAGCUAUCAAUCACCACUACAAUAACUACUAUCAACCACCAUCCAUUAACUACCACCAGCUACCGUAAACAACUAGCAAACAAAAAUAGCCUACCACAUACACUGCUAGCCUUGUUAUUAUCUCUCAUGUGUAUGAUAACAGGUUAUCAAAACUACUGUAAACUAGCAAACAAAAAUAGCCUACCACAAACACUAUUACCCUUGUCAUUUUCUAUUGUGUAUGAUAACAGGUUAUCAAAACUACUGUAAACAACUAGCAAACAGAAAUAGCCUACCACCAACACUGCUAGCCUUGUCAUUUUCUCUCGUGUAUGAUAACAGGUUAUCAAAACUAUCCUUCCGCUCAACCGGUUUCUGGAAGUAUUAAUGUGGGUUAUUUUCCUUAAUGUUUGUAUGAUGGUUUGUGAACAUUACAUGUGUUAACUACAA